rfam:Canis lupus familiaris chromosome 11, whole genome shotgun sequence.
GGAUGUAAGGGCAGUGUGGUUGUGACAUCUGUUACCACAUUGAUCACCAGGUUUGAUUUGGUGAUCUGGCAGGCUGCAGUGUCCUCUUCUUGCCUUAAGUCUGUUCCUUCUGUAUCCUUAUCACAGCUGCAUGGUUGGUUGAAAAGGAUGACCUUCCUGGAUAGAGAAUGAUUGGUCUUUCUUUGGUCAAGAUUAUACAAGUAGCUGCUCUUCCCUGCUGGAACCUCCAAAUAAGCUCCUAAAGUUAGAGCUCUUAAAAAUUCAUCACCCACAGGGUGCCUGAGUGGGUCAUUUGGUUAAGAUUCAACUCUUGGGAUCCCUGGGUGGCGCAGCGGUUCGGCGCCUGCCUUUGG